CAGUCGCCGCGGUAAUACGUAGGUGGCAAGCGUUGUCCGGAAUUAUUGGGCGUAAAGCGCGCGCAGGUGGUUUAAUAAGUCUGAUGUGAAAGCCCACGGCUCAACCGUGGAGGGUCAUUGGAAACUGUUAAACUUGAGUGCAGGAGAGAAAAGUGGAAUUCCUAGUGUAGCGGUGAAAUGCGUAGAGAUUAGGAGGGACACCAGUGGCGAAGGCGGCUUUUUGGCCUGUAACUGACGCUGAGGCGCGAAAGCGUGGGGAGCAAACAGGAUUAGAUACCCGAGUAGUCCCUGUCUCUUAUAC
rnacentral:rRNA from 1 species